UACGUAGGGUCCGAGCGUUGUCCGGAGUUACUGGGCGUAAAGGGCGCGUAGGCGGCCUGCUAAGUCGAACGUGAAAUCCCCGGGCUCAACCCGGGAACUGCGUCCGAUACGGGCAGGCUCGAGUUCGGUAGGGGAGACUGGAAUUCCUGGUGUAGCGGUGAAAUGCGCAGAUAUCAGGAGGAACACCGGUGGCGAAGGCGGGUCUCUGGGCCGAUACUGACGCUGAGGAGCGAAAGCGUGGGGAGCGAACAGG
rnacentral:rRNA from 1 species